GAGGCCUACCAUGGUUUUAACGGGUAACGGGGAAUUAGGGUUCGAUUCCGGAGAGGGAGCCUGAGAAACGGCUACCACAUCCAAGGAAGGCAGCAGGCGCGCAAAUUACCCAAUCCCGACACGGGGAGGUAGUGACAAUAAAUAACAAUAUGGGGCUCUUACGAGUCUCGUAAUUGGAAUGAGUACAAUUUAAAUCUCUUAACGAGGAACAAUUGGAGGGCAAGUCUGGUGCCAGCAGCCGCGGUAAUUCCAGCUCCAAUAGCGUAUAUUAAAGUUGUUGCAGUUAAAAAGCUCGUAGUUGAAUUUCGGGGUCUAUCCGUUGGUCGGGCUUUUGGGUCCGUACUGGCGUUAUGGAUUCCUACCUUCUGAAUAACCAGCAUGCCAUUAAUUUGGUGCGCCGGGGAAGCAGGACUGUUACCUUGAAAAAAUUAGAGUGCUUAAAGCAGGCUAUGGCCUGAAUACAUUAGCAUGGAAUAAUGAAAUAGGACGGCUUGGUUCUAUUUUGUUGGUUUCUAGGAUCACCGUAAUGAUUAAUAGGGAUAGUUGGGGGCAUUAGUAUUCAAUUGUCAGAGGUGAAAUUCUUGGAUUUAUUGAAGACUAACUUCUGCGAAAGCAUUUGCCAAGGAUGUUUUCAUUAAUCAAGAACGAAAGUUAGGGGAUCGAAGACGAUCAGAUACCGUCGUAGUCUUAACCAUAAACUAUGCCGACUAGGGAUCGGACGAUGUUAAUUUUUUAAUGACUCGUCGGCGC
rnacentral:rRNA from 1 species